UGGAUAGAAGAAACAAUGUGAGAGGACAAGGACGAGUGUGUAUGCGAGGUGGGCGACGAGGAGGAAGAGGAGGAGGAGGGCAAGAAAGAGGAAGAGGAGGACGAAGAGGAAGACCAAGAGUGGAAAUAUCUGAUGAAAUCCGAGCAACAUUUAAAGACCAUGUUCUUGUUCAUGGACUGACAAUGAGGGAAGCAGGACUUAGAGUGCAACCUAAUUUGAGCCAAUUUUGUGUGUCCACUAUAGUAAGGACAGUCAGAGAAGAGAACAGAAUUGCAAGGCUGCCACAUGCAGGUGGAAGGACAGCUAUAUUCACUCAGGACCAAGAGGCUGUUAUAGUUGGCAUGGUCCUUCAAGAUAAUGCAAUACGACUCAGAGAAAUCCAGGAACGAGGGAUACAAGACCACACACACUUCCAGGGAAUUGACAGUGAUGUGAAUGAAACAAGUAUACAGAGUACCUUUUGAGCACAACUCACCAAGGAUGAAAGAACUGCGAGCUCAGUAUGUGCAAACAAUAUUUGACUUGGAAUCCUUGGACAGACCCCAUGAGUUCAUCUUUGUCGAUGAACUCCAUGAACUACAUGAUUGGACAG